UCACAACGACUCUCGGCAACGGAUAUCUCGGCUCUCGCAUCGAUGAAGAACGUAGCGAAAUGCGAUACUUGGUGUGAAUUGCAGAAUCCCGUGAACCAUCGAGUCUUUGAACGCAAGUUGCGCCCGAAGCCGCCAGGCCGAGGGCACGCCUGCCUGGGCGUCACGCA
rnacentral:rRNA from 1 species